rnacentral:rRNA from 1 species
GUGAGGAAUAUUGGGCAAUGGGCGAAAGCCUGACCCAGCCACGCCGCGUGAGUGAUGAAGGCCUUCGGGUUGUAAAGCUCUGUGGGGAGGGAAGAAAAAGCGGGAGAGUAACUGCUCUCGUGUUGACGGUACCUCCUUAGCAAGCACCGGCUAACUCUGUGCCAGCAGCCGCGGUAAUACAGAGGGUGCAAACGUUGCUCGGAAUUACUGGGCGUAUAGCGCGUGUAGGCUGACAUGCAAGUCGGGUGUGAAAUCCCAGGGCUCAACCUUGGAACUGCACUCGAAACUGCACGUCUUGAGUACUGGAGAGGGAAGCGGAAUUCCGGGUGUAGAGGUGAAAUUCGUAGAUAUCCGGAGGAACACCAGUGGCGAAGGCGGCUUCCUGGACAGUAACUGACGCUGAGACGCGAAAGCGUGGGGAGCAAACAGGAUUAGAUACCCUAGUAGUCC